ACUUUACAUAAUAUAUUAAUAAAUAAUUUGGUAGUUUAAAAUUAUGUUAGGUUAUUUAUGUUGAGCUGGGGCGGUUUUUAUAAAAAAAAUAACUGUAAGUUAAAUUAAAAUAUAAAUAUAUAGUUUAAUAAGAUCCUUAAAUUUGGAGAUUGGAAGACUAAGUU
rnacentral:rRNA from 1 species